rnacentral:rRNA from 1 species
UUAUCGGAGAGUUUGAUCCUGGCUCAGGACGAACGCUGGCGGCGUGCCUAAUACAUGCAAGUCGAGCGGACAGAUGGGAGCUUGCUCCCUGAUGUUAGCGGCGGACGGGUGAGUAACACGUGGGUAACCUGCCUGUAAGACUGGG